AGAGUUUGAUCCUGGCUCAGAAUCAACGCUGGCGGCGCGCCUAACACAUGCAAGUCGAACGAGAAAGCCCGCAAGGGUGAGUAAAGUGGCGUACGGGUGAGUAACACGUGGAUAAUCUACCCUCUAGUGGGGAAUACCGUUGGGAAACCGACGACAAUACCGCAUAAGCUCGAGAGAGGAAAGCAGCAAUGCGCUGGAGGAGGAGUCCGCGGCUGAUUAGCUAGUUGGUGAGGUAAUGGCUCACCAAGGCAUAGAUCAGUAGCCGGCCUGAGAGGGCACACGGCCACACUGGCACUGAAACACGGGCCAGACUCCUACGGGAGGCAGCAGUGGGGAAUCUUGCACAAUGGGGGAAACCCUGAUGCAGCGACGCCGCGUGAGCGAUGAAGCCCUUCGGGGUGUAAAGCUCUUUCGGCAGGGAAGAUUAUGACGGUACCUG
rnacentral:rRNA from 1 species